rnacentral:misc_RNA from 1 species
GCAGAACUCAUUUGGUUUAUAAGUAUUUUGUUUGGUAUCCUUAUUUGAGGUUUGGGUGGUUGGGAAAUAAAUAGAAUUUGAAAUGUGUGAGUGAGAAGGUGUGUGAAAAAGAAAGUGAAGGAGGGAAGAAUGAAAGACUUUCGAAGGAGAUAAAAUAAGUUUCUAUUAUCUUAAUUAUAUCUAAUAUUCAUGAAUAAAUGAUUUUAACUUUUGACAUUCCUAAAAUUGCUUCUCCAUUUGGUUCUCGGAAAAUAUACAAUCUCCUUUUUGCUCUUUUUCUUUUCCUGAGUUUCUUAGGUAAUUUGGUGUGUUUCUUUUUGUGUUAUGGAAAUGUUUGUAGGAGGUGG